GUUCCCAUCGUUUAAUGGAUAGGACACUAGCCUUCUAAGCUGGAUGUGUAGGUUCGAUUCCUACUGGGAACA
rfam:Candidatus Magasanikbacteria bacterium RIFOXYD1_FTLL_40_23 rifoxyd1_full_scaffold_160, whole genome shotgun sequence.